GAUGAAGAACGUAGUGAAAUGCGAUAAGUAGUGUGAAUUGCAGAAUUCAGUGAAUCAUCGAAUCUUUGAACGCACAUUGCGCCCUUUGGUAUUCCUUAGGGCAUGCCUGUUCGAGCGUCAUUUAAACCCUUCAAGCUCAGCUUGGUGUUGGGUGACUGUCCGCCGCCCCCGGGCGCGGACUCGCCCCAAAUUCAUUGGCGGCCGGUACGUAGGCUUCGAGCGCAGCAGAAACGCGAACUCGGGCCCGCGGUGUCGGCUCCCAGAAGCCAUCUCUUUUAUUUUGACCUCGGAUCAGGUAGGGAUACCCGCUGAACUUAAGCAUAUCAAUAAGCGGAGGA
rnacentral:misc_RNA from 1 species